GUUCUUAAAUAUGAAUAAUUUAAAAAGUUAUCAAAGGAAAUCUUGAUAGAAAAAUAAAGACGUCGCGCGACGAAACAUCAUAGAAAGGCACUUGCUUAUGAACUAUGAGUUUCUUUAAGAAAACUCGCAUUUAAUAUGCUUUUAUACAUUUAUGUGAAUUGAAUCAUCUUAGUAACAUAUUAAAAAAUCAAACGAGAAUUUGUAAGUAACGGUGAGUGAAAGCGAAUCUAGCUGUGUGCUGAAACCCAAAGAAGGUAAUUAAGUCCUUUGUAGCAUUAAUAAUAAUACAAAGUAGUAUGAUUAAUUUUGUACGAAAAUAGGAGUACCAUCUUCUAAGCUAGAAAUUUUUCUAAUCGAUAGUGAACGAGUACUGUGAAGGAAAGAUUUGAAUUUGCUAAUUUAUAUUUAUUUGAAGCUAAUAUAUAUAGCAACAAAGUGCCUUUUGCAUAAUGAGUCAGUAAGUUAAUAUAUGUAGCAAGCUUAAAAGUAUUAAGGCAUUAAAAGUUACAUGUAUUAGACCCGAAGCCAAGUGAUCUAUUUUUAAGCAAGCUGAAGAUGUUUUAAAACGCAUUGAAGGGCUGAACCCACGUCUGUUGAAAAAUACGGGGAUGACUUAAGAAUAGGGGUGAAAGUCCAAUCAAACUUGGUGAUAGCUGGUUUUCCGCGAAAACUAUCAAAGUAGUACGUUGCUUUUAAAAAAUGUGGGUAGAGCUACUUAUUAAACUUAGAUUUUGCUAUGUUUUAUUAAACUCCAAACUAUAUUUUUUCUAAGCAGCAGACAGUCAUUAGGCGAUAAGGUCUAAUGUCAAAAGGGAAACAACCCUAAUCGGUAGCUAAGAUCUCAAAAUUAUGAAUUAGUGAAAAAAUGAAAAAUAAUUCGAAUAAACAGAGUAGGCUUAGAAGCAGCCAUCUAUUGGAGAAAGCGUUUUAGCUCAUUAUUUUUAUUUAUUUUGUUCAUUUAUAAUGUAAAGAGGCUUAAAUUUAUAUAUCGAAGCACCGAAUUAAGUUAUAUUUAGCUUAGUGGUAGCGGAACGUCCUGUAGUCUUUUAUGUUAAUGUUAAAUUGCAUAUUAAAAAUCAGGAGUGCUAAUGCUGACAUGAGUAGCGUCAAUCAUGUUGAAAACAAAUCAUGAUCGUCUAUUGUUCAAGGGUUUUCAGUAAAUUUUAAGUAACUGAAUUUAGUCGGCCCUUAAAAAAAAAGCGAAAGCUGUAUUUGAUAGGAAAGUUGGUCCACAUGUCUGCAAAACAUUCUUUUGUUUUGUGUAAAAAAUCAAUAUUUUUAAAUUCUGCUCAGUAAACUAGCAACUUUAAGAAAUUGUUUUUCAGGAAAACUUACAUGAAGUUUGACCGUACCUAAAACCGACACAGGUGAACUUAUUGAAAAGAUAAAGACGAGUGAGCGAAUUAUACUUAAGGAACUCGGCAAAUUUGCUCUGUACGUUCGCAAAAAAGAGCACCUUAAAGGUUUCAAGAAUUAGGGGUAGCGACUGUUUAACAAAAAAAUCUUAAAACUUUGCAAAUUCUAAAGAAGACGUAUAAGGUUUGAUGCCUGCCCAGUGCUUGAAAGCGAAAAAUAGAUGUCAAUGCAUAUAUUAUAAACCCAAGUAAACGGCGGUCUUAACUAUAAGGAUCCUCAGGUAGCGAAAUUCCUUGGCGGGUAAAUUCCGUCCUGCAUGAAUGGCAUCACGACUACCCCACUGUCUCUAGUAUAACCUCAGCGAAAUUACAUUGUCUGUGAAAAUGCAGACAUCCUACAACAAGACGGAAAGACCCUAUGAUUCUUAACUAUAAUUUUACAUCGUAAUAAUUUUGUACAUAGUACAGUAAAAGUAGGAGUAUAUUUAUACAACUUUGAAAAACUACUUUGUGUAUAGAAAAUUACUUACUAAAGAGGAAAUGUGUAAAAGUGGUAGUUUACUUGGGACGAGGACCUCCUAAACUGUAACGGAGGUGCACAAAAGUAAAUUUUAAUUAGUUAUCUACACUAAUGUAACACGUAAUGGUAAAAGUUUGCUUGACGGUAAGAAUUACAAUUCAAACUGAGACGAAAGUCAGUCAUAAUGAUCCGGCAGUAACGUAUGGAAGUACUGUCGCUUAUCGGAAAAAAGAAACUCUAGGGAUAACAGAUUUAUCAUGGUUGAGAGUUCUUAUCGAUGCCAUGGUUUGAUACCUCGAUGUCGGCCUAUCUGUUGUGGGUAAGAAAAAAAAAAGAUUUAUCUUUAGUACGAGAGGAUUAAGAUAUAUUAACCAAUAGUGUAUCGGUUGUAUUGUUUUUUGCAUCGCCGAGUAGCCACGUUAACAUUAUAUAAGUGCUGACAGCUUAAAAGCGCAAAAAAAAUCUUCCUUUUUUUCUGGAACAUUCUAGAAGAUUACUAGAUAGAUCGGCUUACUAUUUAAUACUUGUAAGAGUAAGUAAGUAAAUACGAAAAGUUCAUUAUAAUUUAUACUAUAUUUAAGAACGGGUUUUAUCCCGUUCUUAAAUA
rnacentral:rRNA from 2 species